rnacentral:rRNA from 1 species
ACAUGUGGACAGUAUGGGAGUGAGAAUGUUGGCAUGAGUAGCGAGAUGUGGGUGAGAAUCCCACAGGCCGUAAACCCAAGGUUUCCAGGGGAAGGUUCGUCCGCCCUGGGUUAGUCGGGACCUAAGCUGAGGCCGAAAGGCGUAGGUGAUGGACAACAGGUUGAUAUUCCUGUACUACCGAUAACCGUUUGAGAGAAGGGAUGACACAGUAGGAUAAGCUAAGCACACUGUUGGUUAUGUGUGCCCAAGCAUUGAGGCAGUCAAAGUAGGCAAAUCCGCUUUGAUAAUGCUGGGAUGUGAUGGGGAGCGAAAUUUAGUAGCGAAGUAGCUGAUUUCACACUGUCAAGAAAAGUCUCUAUCGAGGUUAAAGGUACCCGUACCGCAAACCGACACAGGUGGGUGAGGAGAGUAUCCUAAGGCCAGCGAGAGAACUGUUGUUAAGGAACUCGGCAAAAUGACCCCGUAACUUAGGGAUAAGGGGUGCCACCAUCAGGUGGCCGCAGAGAAUAGGCCCAAGCGACUGUUUACCAAAAACAUAGGUUUCUGCUAAGUCGCAAGACGAUGUAUAGGAGCUGACGCCUGCCCGGUGCUGGAAGGUUAAGGGGAUCUGUUAGAGCAAUCGAAGCAGUGAACUUAAGCCCCAGUAAACGGCGGCCGUAACUAUAACGGUCCUAAGGUAGCGAAAUUCCUUGUCGGGUAAGUUCCGACCCGCACGAAAGGCGUAACGAUUUGGGCACUGUCUCAACAACAGACUCGGUGAAAUUGUAAUUCCGGUGAAGAUGCCGGAUACCUGCGACAGGACGGAAAGACCCCAUGGAGCUUUACUGUAGCUUGACAUUGGGUCUUGGUACUACAUGUACAGGAUAGGUGGGAGGCUUUGAAACCAGGACGCCAGUUUUGGCGGAGCCAUCCUUGGGAUACCACCCUUGUAGUACUGGGACUCUAACCAUAGGCCAUGAAUCUGGUCUUGGGACACUGUCAGGUGGGCAGUUUGACUGGGGCGGUCGCCUCCCAAAAGGUAACGGAGGCGCUCAAAGGUUCUCUCAGUACGGUCGGAAAUCGUACGUAGAGUGUAAAGGCAAAAGAGAGCUUGAUUGCAAGACAUACAGGUCGAGCAAGGAUGAAAAUCGGACUUAGUGAUCCGGUGGUUCUGCGUGGAAGGGCCAUCGCUCAACGGAUAAAAGCUACCCUGGGGAUAACAGGCUUAUCUCCCCCAAGAGUCCACAUCGACGGGGAGGUUUGGCACCUCGAUGUCGGCUCAUCACAUCCUGGGGCUGUAGUAGGUCCCAAGGGUUGGGCUGUUCGCCCAUUAAAGUGGUACGCGAGCUGGGUUCAGAACGUCGUGAGACAGUUCGGUCCCUAUCCGUCGCAGGCGUAGGAAAUUUGAGAAGACCUGUCCUUAGUACGAGAGGACCGGGAUGGACG